rnacentral:ncRNA from 1 species
UUAGGUUAAGGAACUCGGCAAAUAUACUUUUCGCCUGUUUAUUAAAAACAUGUCUUUUUGAUUAUAAUUUAAAGUCUGGCCUGCCCAAUGAGGAGUUAAAUGGCCGCGGUAAUUUGACCGUGCAAAGGUAGCAUAAUCAUUAGUUUUUUAAUUGAAAGCUGGAAUGAACGGUCGGACGAGAAAGUGACUGUCUCGAUUUAA